rnacentral:rRNA from 1 species
GACGAACGCUGGCGGCGUGCUUAACACAUGCAAGUCGAACGGAAAGGCCCUGCUUUUGUGGGGUGCUCGAGUGGCGAACGGGUGAGUAACACGUGAGUAACCUGCCCUUGACUUUGGGAUAACUUCAGGAAACUGGGGCUAAUACAGGAUAGGAGCUCCUGCUGCAUGGUGGGGGUUGGAAAGUUUCGGCGGUUGGGGAUGGACUCGCGGCUUAUCAGCUUGUUGGUGGGGUAGUGGCUUACCAAGGCUUUGAAGGGUAGCCGGCCUGAGAGGGUGACCGGCCACAUUGGGACUGCGGUACGGCCCAGACUCCUACGGGAGGCAGCAGUGGGGAAUAUUGCACAAUGGGCGGAAGCCUGAUGCAGCAACGCCGCGUGCGGGAUGACGGCCUUCGGGUUGUAAACCGCUUUCGCCUGUGACGAAGCGUGAGUGACGGUAAUGGGUAAAGAAGCACCGGCUAACUACGUG